AUGUUUAACGGCCGCGGUAUCUUGACCGUGCGAAGGUAGCGCAAUCACUUGUCCUUUAAAUGGGGACCUGUAUGAAUGGCACAACGAGGGCUUGACUGUCUCCUCCCUCCAGUCAAUGAAACUGAUCUCCCCGUGCAGAAGCGGGGAUUUUACUACUAGACGAGAAGACCCUAUGGAGCUUGAAACAAAGGGCGGCCUUUUAUUGACCCCGGGAGAACAAACACCUUAGUUAACUAGCCCCGCCCCUAGUUUUUGGUUGGGGCGACCGUGGAGAAAUGAAAAACCCCCAUGAAAACCGGGCCUACUACGGCCCGAAGCUAAGAGCCACAGCUCCAAGCAUCAAAAUAUUUGACCAGCGGAUCCGGUCCAGCAGACCGAUCUACGGACCCAGUUACCCUAGGGAUAACAGCGCAAUCCCCUUCCAGAGCUCCUAUCGACAAGGGGGUUUACGACCUCGAUGUUGGAUCAGGACAUCCUAAUGGUGCAGCCGCUGUUAAGGGUUCGUUUGUUCAACGAUUAAAGUCCUACGUGAUCUGAGU
rnacentral:rRNA from 1 species